GACGAACGCUGGCGGCGUGCUUAACACAUGCAAGUCGAACGGAAAGGCCUCUUUCGGGGGGUACUCGAGUGGCGAACGGGUGAGUAACACGUGAGUAACCUGCCCUUGACUUUGGGAUAACUUCAGGAAACUGGGGCUAAUACCGGAUAGGAGCUCCUGCUGCAUGGUGGGGGUUGGAAAGUUUCGGCGGUUGGAGAUGGACCCGCGGCUUAUCAGCUUGUUGGUGGGGUAGUGGCUUACCAAGGCUUUGACGGGUAGCCGGCCUGAGAGGGUGACCGGCCACAUUGGGACUGAGAUACGGCCCAGACUCCUACGGGAGGCAGCAGUGGGGAAUAUUGCACAAUGGGUGGAAGCCUGAUGCAGCAACGCCGUGUGCGGGAUGACGGCCUUCGGGUUGUAAACCGCUUUCGCUCAUGACGAAGCUUUGUGUGACGGUAGUGGGUAAAGAAGCACCGGCUAACUACGUG
rnacentral:rRNA from 1 species